UACAGAGGGUGCGAGCGUUGUCCGGAAUCACUGGGCGUAAAGGGCGCGUAGGUGGCGCGACAAGUCAGUGGUGAAAGUUCGACGCUCAACGUCGAAUCGGCCACUGAUACUGUUGGGCUUGAGCACUGUAGAGCUAAUGGAAUUCCUGGUGUAGCGGUGGAAUGCGCAGAUAUCAGGAGGAACACCGGUGGCGAAGGCGGGUCUCUGGGCAGUAACUGACGCUGAGGAGCGAAAAGCGUGGGGGAGCGAACAGG
rnacentral:rRNA from 1 species